GACGAACGCUGGCGGCGUGCUUAACACAUGCAAGUCGAACGAUGAAGCCGCUUCGGUGGUGGAUUAGUGGCGAACGGGUGAGUAACACGAGGGCAAACUGCCCUGCACUCUGGGACAAGCCCUGGAAACGAGGACAAAUACCGGAUACGACCAUCGGCGUCAUGGCCUGGAGGUGGAAAGCUCUGGUGGUGCAGGAUGAGCCCGCGGCCUAUCAGCUUGUUGGUGGGGUGAUGGCCUACCAAGGCGACGACGGGUAGCCGGCCUGAGAGGGCGACCGGCCACACUGGGACUGAGACACGGCCCAGACUCCUACGGGAGGCAGCAGUGGGGAAUAUUGCACAGUGGGCGCAAGCCUGAUGCAGCGACGCCGCGUGAGGGAUGACGGCCUUCGGGUUGUAAGCCUCUUUCAGCAGGGAAGAAGCUUUCGGGUGACGGUACCUGCAGAAGAAGCACCGGCUAACUACGUGCCAGCCGCCGCGGUAA
rnacentral:rRNA from 1 species